UGAAAGGCAGUGCUCCACUUCAUUCGGCAAAUCAAAUUGGGUGAAAAUCAAGAAGAGGAAGAAGAACAGAUCGAAAAUGGGGAAGCCAUUGGGAACCACCGGAGAGUUUUUCAGGAGAAGGGACGAGUGGAGGAAGCAUCCUAUGUUGUCCAAUCAGUUCCGACACGCUUUCCCUGGUCUUGGCAUCGCUGUUGUAGCCUUCAGCAUCUAUUGUGUCGGCGAAUUUGCCUAUAACAAGAUGUCUACUCCUUCUCACUCCACCUCUUCCGCCGCUGUUUCUCACUCUCACUGAGAUUCGAUAUGGGUCGGGCUGGUAGUGAACCCCAUUUGUCUCUUUUGAGUUGUUAUGCUCAAGUGGCGAAAUGUGCCCCUGUCAUAAAAUUGAGGAUGUCGUCUCCUAUGCAAAGUGAGGUGGUAGUUUAAGAACUGGGAUGACUAUACAGUUCAGUCGUGUUUUUUCUCAGUAAUCAUCAAUAAGAUACUUAACAAACAUGGACAUGUUGCCUCAAUUUUUUUGAGACUUGUGUUGUAACAAGAUUAAUGAGCAGUUUGCUUUACUAUGUAUUGUCCUCGAUUUUGUGGUUUUCUAAUAAAUCUACUAUUCCAUGGGCUC